rnacentral:rRNA from 1 species
GACGAACGCUGGCGGCGUGCUUAACACAUGCAAGUCGAACGGAAAGGCCCUGCUUUUGUGGGGUGCUCGAGUGGCGAACGGGUGAGUAACACGUGAGUAACCUGCCCUUGACUUUGGGAUAACUUCAGGAAACUGGGGCUAAUACCGGAUAGGAGCUCCUGCUGCAUGGUGGGGGUUGGAAAGUUUCGGCGGUUGGGGAUGGACUCGCGGCUUAUCAGCUUGUUGGUGGGGUAGUGGCUUACCAAGGCUUUGACGGGUAGCCGGCCUGAGAGUGUGACCGGCCACAUUGGGACUAAGAUACAGCCCAGACUCCUACGGGAGGCAGCAGUGGGGAAUAUUGCACAAUGGGCGGAAGCCUGAUGCAGCAACGCCGCGUGCGGGAUGACGGCCUUCGGGUUGUAAACCGCUUUCGCCUGUGACGAAGCGUGAGUGACGGUAAUGGGUAAAGAAGCACGGGCUAACUACGUG